GAUGAACGCUGGCGGCGUGCCUAAUACAUGCAAGUCGAGCGAACGGACGAGAAGCUUGCUUCUCUGAUGUUAGCGGCGGACGGGUGAGUUACACGUGGAUAACCUACCUAUAAGACUGGGAUAACUUCGGGAAACCGGAGCUAAUACCGGAUGAUAUUUUGAACCGCAUGGUUCAAAAGUGAAAGACGGUCUUGCUGUCACUUAUAGAUGGAUCCGCGCUGCAUUAGCUAGUUGGUAAGGUAACGGCUUACCAAGGCAACGAUGCAUAGCCGACCUGAGAGGGUGAGCGGCCACACUGGAACUGAGACACGGUCCAGACUCCUACGGGAGGCAGCAGUAGGGAAUCUUCCGCAAUGGGCGAAAGCCUGACGGAGCAACGCCGCGUGAGUGAUGAAGGUCUUCGGAUCGUAAAACUCUGUUAUUAGGGAAGAACAUAUGUGUAAGUAACUGUGCACAUCUUGACGGUACCUAAUCAGAAAGCCACGGCUAACUACGUG
rnacentral:rRNA from 1 species